GUAUAUAUGCAACCAUUUAUUUGAUUUUUUAUCAGUUGAGUCUUACUGUUUCUUAUGUUUUACGUUUGAUUCUUUGUUGCAAAGAAACUCACAAACAAAAGAUUUUAGAAAUACCCACUGUACAUGUAUGUAUUGCUCAAAAUUGUUUGACAGAACAUCAAUAGAACUAAUUAGUUUUUAUAUGAGUUGAUGAUGUUCAGAUCUUCCCCAGCUUGGAGAAACUCCUAUUAAGUGGAAAGGAUUUCAGGAUGAUUUUGCAGGGUGAUUACCCACAAAACCUAUUUGGCAGUCUUAAAUACAUUAAGGUUGCGGAUGAUGACUCAGCUUGUUUUCCACUUGGUUUACUUGAGAAAUUUCAAAAUCUGGAAAUCCUCUUUCUGAGUUGUACUUCAUACACAGAGAUAUUAUCAAAUGAAGGACACUCGGAGAAGCACGUGGGCAAGUUCUCACAAGUAAAACAUUUACAGCCGUACAAACUGAAUGAUCUGAAGCACCUAUGGAAACAAGACUCCAAACUGGACUCCAUUCUUGCAAAUCUUGAAAUUCUACGAGUAUAUUGUUGUCAAAAUCUGACUGUUCUAUUGCCAUCAUCAUCGGUAUCGUUUUGGAAUCUAACAGAUCUGCAAGUUUGGGGCUGCAAGAAAUUGAUGAAUUUGGUAACAUCCUCCACAGCAAAGAGUCUAGUGCGCCUCAUGACAAUGAAGGUGUGUGGGAGCAAAGCAAUGACACAAGUGGUGGUAAGUGAGGAAGAUGGAGCAGAAGAUGAAAUUGUUUUCAGCAAAUUGAAGACAUUGUCUCUGCUUGAUUUAGAUAGCCUCACAAGUUUCUACUCUGGCAAUUACACCUUCAAAUUCCCAUCUCUACAAGAUUUAGAAGUGAUUGGUUGUCCCAAGAUGAAGAUUUUCACCACAGGAGAAUUAUGCACACCGCCGAGAGUAAAUGUCUGGUAUGGAGAGGGAGAUGGUGAAUGUCGUUGGGCUAAUGACCUUAACGUUACGAUACAAGAGUUGCAUGCUGAAAAGGUACGGUUAACCCACCAACUUAACUCCCAAGGAAAAAUUUUACAAAUUUGCACUUUUUAACAAAAUUUAGAAAAUAGAUCAUGGACAACCAAGUUUGACUCAUUAGAAUAUUUAUUAUUGAGUAAGUGCAUGAUCGGGUUUGAAAAAGUAUGAGACACUUCUGUAUGUAGUUCUUGAAACUGUCCAAUUUAAAACAGACAUAUUCAAUUCUCAAAAAAUCAUGAAUCAUUAGUUUUAACUUCAUAAUAUAAAAGUCGUGUCAAAUUAAUGAAUGAGAAUUUUGUUUUCAGAUGUUGGAGGGGUCGUCAUCUAACUUGAGGAAGUACGAUUGGUGAUCAUGUUGGCUUUUUAAUUUAUUACUUGGAGUUGUGAAUUUGAAGAAUAAAGUCCCAGGUAAAUAAUUUAAUUUCCCUUAUUUGAUCUCAUAGCUUGUUUCAUCGGUUCACCUGAACUAUUUAGAUUGCGUCACUGGUUUAUUGUUAACUUUAAAAUGAAGUUUUAAUGUUUCAUUCGGGGCUUUAUGAGCAAAUUUUACAUCAUUGAAUGUCCUUUGGUCUGAACUUUUGAGCUUUUUGUUUGAUAGUCAAGGCUUUAUAGUAUGCUAUUUAUAAUUCCUUAAGAAUGUGCAAAAUUUUUUAUGAUAAAAUUGCUUGAAUAUGUCAUUGAAAGGAACUUCUAUGUUGCUCUUUAUGAUUACAGAGUUCUCAAUGUUAUCACUCUUCUUUUGCAGGAUGUGGAAUCAAAGAUACUUUUCUAUGAAAUUUGUGUUCCUUGUAUUAAAAGUUUACAUGCUGAAGGGCUUCCUGUGUUAUCUUUGCUGUUCUACUUGUGCUUUACUUCAUUGUGUCGCUACAGCUUUGUGAGUGUUAUGUUAACUAUUGUUUCCUUCAUUUGGGCAUUGUAAGUUUCGAAGGCGCUACAUUGCUUGACUAAAGAUGCUUAAAUUUAUCAUCUGUUUGUACCCCUUGUAUUAUAUACAAUAAAUUUUUGAUGUAUUUUGACAUUUAAUACGAGAUAUGUUUGAAUUUUCAUUGAAAGGUUUCAUAAUUGUUCAAAUUUAUCUUCAGUUUUAUUUUUGUUAUCUUGUUGGAACCAAAUUGACAACCAAGAUCAAUUUGGAACACCCAAGAUCCACUCUAAGAAACUUGAUCUUAACUAGGUCUGAUACUAGACUGAGUUUAAGAAGAAAUUUGCCUAGGUAAGUGGAAUCAAACACAACUCAAGGAACAAAAGCAGAAAAGAAAGAAAACAGAUCUCACACACAGCACCAAGAUUUAUAGUGGUUCGGCCAUUUUCUUGCCUAUAUCCACUGUGAAAAGAGAAGCAAGCUUUCACUGAUUUCAGAGAUUACAAGUCACAGAGAUGAAGAGUAUGUGUAACAGAAUCGAAACCCCUCAGUAACAGAUCAUAGAGCCUUUUACAUUUCAAUCAAAACCCUCUAAAAGGACCCCAAACAAUCAGCUCACGCUCCUGGGUUUCUCAGCUAAGCAAUCCCAGCUGCAUCUGCAUCCCGCGUGAAUUAACUGAAUUAACAGCUUCUGGAACUGCUCAGGGACACUUGUCAAAUGCUCGUAUAAUUUGCUACUUCAAAAACCGACAUGACAUCACUUCCUUCCCCAAGCAUCAGACACGUCAUACACAUUCCCGAAUCCAGAUUUGAGCUUCCCCUCUUCAGCAUAUCUCAAAUACAUGUUAGGCCUUGCAUGCAUAGACGCACGUAAUAUCCCAGAAGAGUUUUAUCAGAUGAUUUUACUAUCAUCGUUGUUGUUGCUGCUCCCGCCGCCGCCAUUAUUACUAUUAUUAUACUACUACUUGAAAAUUUCAAGUAUUUUAGAUGAGAAAUUUAUUAUGUUAGAGAUAUUCAUAAUAUACAUGAUGCUGAAAUCAGGGAAUUUGUUGUCUCAGUUUGUUUUAUUUUUGUUUGCCUCGAAUCAAAUUUUGAAAUUUAAGAACUAUGGUAAGAGAUGGAACAAGAGGAGUUAAAAAAUUUGCCAAAAUUGAUGUAGCAAUGAAACAAUUGUAUCCUAACAUGUUUAGCAUCAUUCUACUUUAUGAUCAUUGUUGUUCCGUUAUUUUAGUUCUUGCUCUGUUUGUUCUGUUUCUCUGUUUAUUUCACUGGGGGUUUGCUUCACAAAAUCUUACUUUCAAAAUUUAGAAGGCAAGGAAAGAGCGCUUCGAAAAUGCAAGAGGUAUCAAAUCAUGCAUUAAAAAACUUGUUGGCUGCUGGCUGGUCUAUUUCAUUGGCACCGAUCGAAUCAUUAUCCCUAAAAUAAUUAGGAGUCGGAGAUAUAAGUGUGAAAAUAACAGGAUCAUUUACAACAUGGAAAUCAGUCGCCAUUGGUAGGUGGCGCUGCAUAUGAUAAUAACAACUGAUUGAUACCAACAAAGUGUUGGCUCCACUGGUAAUGGAGUCCCCUUAAGUGGCUUGACUGGAUUUGCUCCCCAGUUCGAGUCGCAGGGAAGUCGCCUUUGUUGGGAGAAUCUGUGCCUCCCGGUUCGAGCGGAGACUUCUAGUCUGGGUUGUGGUACGGGCUUAAAGGUGCCUCCCACAGUUGGGGCCCUCCCCAGGAUACCUCGUGAUUAAUAUAAAAAAAAAAAAACAACUGAUUGAUGAAAUUAAUGCCAUCAAUCUGCCUGUUAAUGUUGUUGACGCGUGUCAAAUUUUCAUGCAUAUUAGAAUUUAUUAGUGAGGUUGCAUUAUGGUCCAUAUCGUCAAUAACUUUAGCAGUCAAAUUUUACGCCACUGGAGUCAAAUUUUCAUGCAUAAAGCUGUUGGCUGGUCUGUUUGGCUCUACAAUGAUUUAUCUUUUCGACUUAAAAUGAUUCCAAAAAGCCAUCAGCAAUCUCUAGUGCAACUCUUCAAAAAAAAAAAUUAAAAUAAAAAUAAAAGUCUCAAAAAGUAUCAUUAAUUUAAUUCUAUUGUUUCCGGGUAAUCAGAACGUGUUUGAUAAAUAUUUAUAAGUUACAGUUUGAAAAUUAAAUAGAUUUUAUUUAACAAAAAGAUAUUGUUGACGCGUGUCAAAUUUUCAUGCAUAUUAGAAUUUAUUAGUGAGGUUGCAUUAUGGUCCAUAUCGUCAAUAACUUUAGCAGUCAAAUUUUACGCCACCGGAGUCAAGUGAUUUUUAAGCAGUUUUAUUCAACUGGUUACCUGAGUUCGAAUCUUAAAGAGAUAAAUAGUUAAAAAUGAAUUUAGACUUUGCCUACUCCUUUAAUAAAAAAAGAAGGUCAUUUAGUCUUAACUUUUGAAAUUUUUAUUUGACAUUUCGGCUUUAUAGCAUGCGAUGUAUUUUCUUAAAUUUUAUAAUUCCUUGAGAAUGUGCAAACAUUUUAUGAUAAAAUUACUUAAAAAUGUCGUUGAAACGAACUGAACUUUUUAUGUUGAAAGAAAGCCUUAUUAUUUUUCUGUACUUCUAUGUAAUGCUUUAUGGUUACAAAAUUCUCAUUGUUAUCACUCUUCUUGUGCAAGAUCUGUAAUGAAAGAUACUUUUCUGUCAAAUUUGUGUUCCUGAUAUUAAAAGUUCACAUGCUGGGGGGCUUCCUAUUUCAUCUUUGUCAUUCUACUUGUGCUUUGCUUCAUUGUGUAGCUACAGCAUUAUAAGCGUUACCAUAACUUAUCUGCAGCAAUUUUAUAAUUUACUAUUAUUGUGGUUGUUGCUGCUAUCAUUGUUCUACUAGUUGGAAAAUUCGAAUUCUUUUAGACGUGACAUUUAUCAUAUUAGAUAUUCAAGGUAUACAUACAUGCAUAUAUAUAUAUAUAUAUAUACUGGGUAUCUGUUUAGAUAUGAUGCAGAGAAAUGACAGAAGUUGUAUUAAGUGACGAAGAUUGAGCAGCAAAACAAGAGAUAGUUUUCAGCAAAUUAAAGACGUUGGCUCUGUUUGAUUUAGUUAGACUCACAAGUUUCUGCUCUGGCAAUUGCACUUUCAAAUUCCCAUCCUUGCAAGAUUUAACUGUGAUUGACUGUCCCAAGAUGAAGAAUUUUACUAGAGGAGAAUUAUGGAUGCCAUCUGGUACGGAGAGAGAGAAGAUGAAAGCCGUUGGGCUAAUGACCUUAACACAACCAUACAACAACUACAUGCAGAAACGGUAUGAUUAAUUCACUAUUCUAUCUCCAAUGGAAAAGUUUUACAAAAUUUGCAAUUUUUUAACAAAACGUAGAAAACUGAUCAUUGACAAGUUAGUUUGAUUCAUUAGAAUAUUCGCUAUUACUUUUGUAUUUAAUUCAUCAAACUGUCCUAUUUAAUAUUGACAUUUUCACAAAAGUUAGAUAAUGUUUUUCAAUUCUCACAAAUUCGUUAAUAAUUAGUUUUAAUUUCAUAAUAUGAAAAUCUUGUCAAAGAAAUUGUGUUAUUAAACUUAUUAAAUCUCUCGCUAGUGGCUUCCUUCCUAAUCUCCAUGUGCUUUAGUAUUUAUUUCCAAGUGCCUAAUUUUACAACUUUUAAUUUAGAUUAAUGAAUGACAAUUCUUAUUUUUUCAGCUGUUGGAGGGGCUUUCAUCUUAGUCGACUUUAUACAAGUAAUCUGAUCAAAUACAUUUUAGUACUUGGAUAAGAUGUGGAUUUGAAGACUAAAGAUCGCAGGUAACUAAUUUUAUUACUUAUGUACUUUUCUCAUGGUUUUGUUUCAUCGUUUCAUCUAAACUCUUUGGAAUGCAUUAAUUUUGUUUAUUGUUAAUUUGGAACGAAGUUUUAACGUAUCAUUCAGGGAUUUUGUUUGCAUCAUUGAGGGUUGUUUGGCCUUAACUUCUGAGGUUUUUGACAUUCAGCUUUAUAUUGUGCUAUUUUUUGUAAUUUUAUAACUUCUUGAAAGCAUGCAUAUAUUUUUUUUCUUAUCAUGAUGCCUCGAAAAUGUCAUUAGAAGGGACAGCAGUUUUCUUUUUCUUAUUUAUUUUCAAGUAUCUACGUUUGCGAAUUUUAGUUCAACUUGUUGAAUGGGAAUUUUGUUUUCAGCUACGUACAAGACGAUGCCGCUGCUGCUGCCAUUGUUACUGUCAUAGUUACUAUUACUCGAAAAUUUCAAGUAAUUUAGUUGUGAAAUUCAUUAUGUUAGAGAUAUUCAAAAUAUAUAUGAUGCUGAAAGAAAAGAGUGGACUUGUUGUCUCAGUUUGUCUCAUUUUGUUUUCUCCAACUCUAAUUUUCAAAUUUUAGAAAUAUGGUAAGAGAAGGAACAAAAUGAGUAAAAAAAUUGUCAAAAUAGUUGUAGCUAUGAACAAUUAUAUCCAAACACAUUUAGCAUCAAUCUACUUUGCCAAAUUUUUUAGUCAUCGUCUUUGCUCGGUUGUUUUAGUUUUUGCCCUGUUUGUUCUCUUUAUUUUGAUUGAGUUUGCUUUACAAAGUCUAUCUUUCAAAACUUAGAAGGCGAGGAAAGAGCGGGUAGGAAAUGCAAAAGGUAUCAAAUCAUGCAUAUGGUCAAAUGCUCCUGUAUAUGAACACAUAAAGAACAAUUGAAAUAUCAUUCACCGGAUAACACAAACAAAUAAAAAAAAAAAAAAAAAGAAGAAAGAGAGAAAAUCUAAUCGUCUCAUUAUCCCGAACACAAAUAAUUAAACCAUCAAAUGUUUGCAAUGAGCACAAUCAGAUCAUCUCUUUGGAAUAAUUACAUGUUGGCUUGGCCUAUUUUUUGGCCGGUAAAAAGGUUUUUGGCUGGAGCAUUUGGCCUUAACUUUUUUUUUUUUUUGAGUCUAUAUCAAUUGAUGCCACUAUGUCAAUAAUAAUUGGUAGGAAAUAAAUUAAUAUGUAACUAUAUCUUCUUAAUUAAUUAUUUGUUUUUUUAUCCAUUUACAUUGGAAAAAAGGGGUGCAGGGUCAGGAAGCUUCUUAGACGUGGCACGUUCAAAAGCUUUUUUUUUUUUUUGUCUGAACCACAUGGUCCUGAGUAGGCCCUAACUGUGGGAGAUACCUUUAAGCUCAUACCACAAUCCAAACUAAUCUCCACUCGCACCAGGUCGGCCCGUAAGGGAUAAAGUACUGGCUAAAGUGGUGACUCCAUAUAAGAGCGGGGCUUGAACCUCUGACCUCUCUUAAGAAGUGAGAGUGCCGAACCACUCUGUUCAAAAGCUUUUCUUUUUUAAAAGCUGCGUCAAGCAUGACACGUCAACAUCAUUUACAAGUGGGAACAACUCUUUUUCAUAAAAGAAAAGCCUUUUUUGUUUUAAAAUAAAGUUUUUUUGGAUGAUUCACUAUUACUAAUUGCCCAAGUCAUUCUAUUGCGAAUACAUGCAAAUUAAUAAAGAGACUUGUGGGGUUGCUGGAUAGAAAUUGUUGAAUACAUACAAAUUAUUGAACAGAAAUCCAAUAAUUGAACACCGGCCAAUUCUUGUCCAAUCAAAUUAAAACUCAAUUAAUAUAUUCCACUAAAUUUUUCGUACAACAUCCUAUUCAGAUGAAUAAAAUGUAAAAAAUAAAAUAUAUAAUUCAAAAAAUUAUAAAGGAUGCAAUUUAGCAGGUCAUACAAUAUACCAAAAAAAGUCUUGGGGGUGCAGUGGGAAUAUUUCUUGACAGAAAGAGUCUUAAAAAUUUUUUCGCCAGAAAACAUUUUCUCUCUCUGAUCUCUGUAUUCUUCAGAUCCUCCUCCUUGCUUGAACGUCUGUAACUUUGUCAUCCAUGAUUUGCAUUCAAUUCUUGACGAAAAAACCUUUUUCCGGAUUUUCAUCUUUUGAUCUCAAACAUGCUUUGCUUCUGUUGAUUGUGGUCGCUUCUAGUGCUAGUUCUCUUCUUAUAUAGCUUUGUUCCCUUUUGCCAUCAGCUCUUUGCAUUUCCUUGGAUGAAGAAACCUUUUUCUUGUUUCAAUUUUCUGAUCUCAAAAGCACUUUGAUUCUAGUCUGCCACACUGAUUUUGUCCUUGUUUUGUACAAACAUAAUUUCGCCAUUAUCUGUUUGAUUAUCAAUUGACCCGUCGUUGACUCUAUUCUAUUUCUAUGUGAAAAAUACGAAAAAAAAAAAAAAGAGAUUGAAGAUGGUGGAAAGCAUUGUUACUGUUGUUUUAGAAGUUGUGAAAUGCUUGGCUCCUCCGACACAACGCCAACUUGAUUACUUGCGAAACUACAAUGAAAACAUUCAGAAACUCGAGGCAGAAACCGAGAGCCUGAAGGUUGAAAUUAGGAGCAUUGAGCGCAGAGUUUUUGGGGCCGAAAAACAAGGAGAAAAGAGUGAAGAGAAAGUCGAGAAGUGGUUGGUUAGCGCCAACAAGAUCAUUGAUGAGGUGAAUGCCAAAUUCAUGGGAGAUGAAGAGACUGCAAAUAAGCGAUGUCUCAAGGGGCUGUGUCCUAAUUUGAAGGCUCGCUAUCAGCUUAGCAAGAAAGCAGAGACACAGGUGAAGGCCCUUGUUGAGUGCCGAGAAGAAGCCGGUCGACUUGAUAGAAUUUCCUACCUUACCUAUCCGGACAAGAUAUGGCUCAAGUCCCACAAAGGUUACGAGGCCUUUGGAUCAAGGCUUUCUACUUUGAAGUGUAUACAAAACGCUUUGACAGAUGUUAAUGUCAGCAUCGUUGGAGUGUACGGCAUGGGCGGCGUUGGAAAGACGACUCUAGCGAAGGAGAUCGUUAGGCAAGCCUUGGCAGACAAGCUCUUUGAUCAAAUAGCCUUUUCAGAGGUUUCCGAAACUGCAGACAUAAAAAAGAUUCAGCGGGAUAUUGCUGAGGACUUGGGUCUCGCAUGGCAUGAGGAAACUGAAUCUAGAACUGCGAGUAGACUGUAUGAACAGUUGAAGAAUGAGAAGAAGAUUCUUGUGGUUCUAGAUAACAUAUGGAAGCAUCUUGAUUUGGAGACUGUUGGAAUUCCUUUUGGUGAUGAUUAUAGAGGUUGUAAACUCUUGCUGAUAGCAAGAGAUCGUAAUGUUUUGUUGGAUAUGGAUUCUAAACAUAACUUCUUUAUUGACAACUUAAAUGAAGAAGAAGCUUGGAGAUUGUUUAAGACGAUGGCGGGUGAUUAUGUUGAAAAUCGUCAGCUGAAAUCUACAGCAACAGAUGUAGCCAAGGGAUGUGGAGGCUUGCCUAUUGCCUUAGCUACAACAGCAAGGGCAAUGAGAGACAAGACUGUGCAUGAAUGGAAGAAUGCCUUGCGAGAACUUCAGACGCCUUCAGUGAUGAACUUCGAAGGACUGCCGGCAGAUACUUAUGCAAGAAUCGAGCUGAGUUUCAAGUAUUUAAAAGGUGAGCAGCUCAAGAAAAUUUUUCUGCUUUGUAGUCUAAUGGGUAAUCCUAUUUUUACUUCAGACCUGUUUAAAUACUCCAUGGGUUUGGGUAUACUCCAAGGAGUCAAGAAGAUGGAAGAUGCACGAAACCAAUUAUAUGCAUUGGCCUAUAAACUUAAAGACGCUUGUUUGUUGCUUGAGGGAGGUAGCAGCGAACAAUUUUCAAUGCAUGACGUCGUUCGCGAUGUUGGCAUAUCAAUUGCUUACCGGGACCAACAUGUAUUUUUGGCAAAAAAUGAGGAUGUGUUGGAGCUGCCGGACAAGGAAGCACUUGUAAAUUGCUAUGCGAUUUCUAUAAGUGGUUGCCGUAUUCAGGAGCUUCCUCAAGGAUUGGAAUGCUUGCAACUCGAACUUUUAUAUAUAUCUCCCAAAGACUCUUACCUUCAAAUCAAUAUUCCUGAGAACAUUUUUGCAGGGAUGCGGAAGCUUAGAGUUGUAGAUUUUACUGGGAUGCAAUUAUGUUGCUUGCCAUCUUCAAUUGAUCUCUUAGUAAAUCUUCAAACACUAUGUUUGGAUCAAUGCAUGUUGAGUGACAUAGCAAUUAUUGGAAGGUUGAAGAAUCUGGAAAUCCUUAGCUUUUUAAAUUCAGAUAUUGUGCAGUUGCCUGAAGAACUAGGUGAAUUGACUAAGCUAAGGUUGUUAGAUUUAUCCAAUUGUUUCCAGCUAAAAGCUAUUGCACCCAAUGUCCUAUCAAGCUUAACUCGAUUGGAAGAACUCUACAUGAAAAAUUGCGUUAUCGAAUGGGAUGUUCAAAGACCCAAUGGUGGAAGAAGUACUGCCAGCCUUGGUGAGUUGUUGCAAUUGCCUCGACUGACCACUCUAGAAAUAGAUGUCAAAAAUGAUAGUAUUUUACCAGAAGGCUUUUUUGCAAAAAAAUUAGAAAGGUUCAAAAUAUCAAUAGGAGAUGAGUCAUUCAAGCCUCCGGUGCGUGCGGAUGAAUGGUUCGGUAGUCGGCCGGUUUUGAUCAGUGAUCCUUCGAGUCUAAGAACCAUAAAGCUGAAGCUUAGCUCAAAGCCUAUUUGCUCGAAGAAAAUGCAGGGCAUCCAGAAUGUUGAAUACUUGUGUUUGGACAAGCUGCAAGGUGUCAAGAAUGUUCUUUUAGAUAUGGACAUUGAGGGAUUUCUACAGUUGAAGCAUCUCCAUGUUCAAAAUAAUCCUGACUUCGUGUGCGUUGUUGACUCAACGGAGGGGGUACGUCGUGAUGUGUUUCCUCUUUUGGAGUCACUUACUCUUUACAAUUUGAUUAACAUGGAGAGGGUAUGUAUUGAUCGACUCAAAGUAGAGUCUUUCUGUGAACUUAAAACCAUACAGGUGGGAAAAUGUGAUGAGUUGAGUAAUAUCUUCUUGCUGUCUUCUAUAAGCUGCCUUCCCACACUUGAGAGGAUUGCAGUUUUUGAUUGCGAUAAGAUUGAAGAGGUCUUUGCAAUUGGUGGAGAACCAGAUGUCGACAACAAUAAUGCAGUGGAGAAGAUAGAGUUUGCAGCAGUAAAAUUUUUACAUCUGCAAAAUCUUCCGAAGCUUGCAAGUUUUUGCUCUGAAGUAAAGAGACCAAAUACACAAGGGUCGCAAGAGGAAUUGACAGCUACUACUUGCUCGACCGAAAUCAGUUUGUUGGAGGAGGACAAGCUUGAUACUUCGACACCGCUUUUCAACGAGAAGGUAAGCUGUUAUAAUGAAACCAAAGCAUUCGUUUUUCUUUCUCAACUUAUUCUAUCGUGCAUUUUCGUUUGAUGACAACUAUAGAAAAUGAAUUAUAAGGGAAAAAGAAAAUGAGAAUUGGAAAUUAGAAUCUCACACACUCACUCACUAAGCUCGCUUUACAUAUUAAUGAUGUGAAUUAAAUUGCAUAUUAAGUGUAUGUUUAGUAUGGUAAUAAUUCUCAAAAAAUCAUUUUUAGCACGGAUUUCUAAAAACUAUAUUUGAAAAAAGUUUAACACAAUGUUUUGUAAAUGGGUGAGCUAUUUGCACCUUAAAAAUUACUCUAAACACUCUAAUUGAAAUAAAAAUUUAUAACAAAAAUAUCUAUCAUAUGAAUUAUAUAAAGGACAAUUUAUUAUAAGUCAAUAUUACAUAAUUACUAUGAACGCCCCAUAUAACACACUCAUUAUUUAAUAUAUAUAAUUUUCAUGUUUUAAACCUUAAAACUUUUUUAUUUACAUCUUCAUCAAUACUUAGAUGAAUAAUGAUAAAAUCAAUAUUUUUCUUUUAUUUUUCCAUAAAUAAUCAAUAUCAAACGCGCACUGAAGCUGUCACUUGGAAGAUGAUUUGAUCUAACAAGAAAUUAAUGUUUAGGUUGUGUUCCCCAACUUGGAAGAUUUGGAGUUGAUUGGAAUUAAUGUCGAAAAGAUUUGGCACAAUCAACUUCCAGCCAUGUUUCCUCGCUUUCAAAGUUUAACAAAAUUAAUCGUGGGGAAGUGUCACAAAUUAAAAUGUAUAUUUUCGGCUUCUAUGCUCAGAAGCUUUGAGCACCUCCGACACCUGGAUAUAUGCAACUGUAUGGGUUUGCUUGAGAUUAUUUCCGAAGGAGCAGAUCAAGUGCCACCUUGUUUUAUCUUUCCGCGGCUGACAUUUCUAAGACUAGGUGAACUACCAGAACUUAGAUGUUUAUAUCCUGGAAUGCAUACUUCGGAAUGGCCGGCACUAAACUCGUUGAUGGUCUUUGGUUGUGACAAAAUAAAGUUAUUUGCUUCUGAGUUAUCUAGCUUCCAUGGAAACAUUGAUGAGAAUCAACUUCCUAUCCCAGCACAACAGCCUCUGUUCUUGAUCGAAAAGGUACAUAUGAAACCAUUUAUUUGAUCUUUUAUCGGUUGCAUCUUACUGUUUCUUAUGUUUUAUGUUUGGUUCUUCGAUGCAAAGAAACUCACAAACAAUAGAUUUUAGAAAUACCCGCUGUACAUGUAUGUGUUACUCAAAAUUGUUUGACAGAACAUCAAUUGAACUAAUUAGUUUUUAUGUGAGUUGAUGAUGUUCAGAUCCUCCCCAACUUGGAGAAUCUGCUAUUAAGUGGAAAGGAUUUCAGGAUGAUUUUGCAGGAAGAUUACCCACAACACCUCUUUGGCAGUCUUAAAUACAUUGAGGUUGUGGAAGAUGACUCAGCUUGUUUUCCGCUUGGUUUACUUGAGAAGUUUCGCAAUCUGGAAAUCCUCUAUCUGAGUGGUACUUCAUACACAGAGAUAUUAUCAAAUGAAGGACACUCGGAGAAGCACGUGGGCAAGUUCUCACAAGUAAAACAUUUACAGCCGUACAAACUGACUGAUCUGAAGCAGCUGUGGAAACA
rnacentral:lncRNA from 1 species